rnacentral:rRNA from 1 species
ACAGCAGUAGCCGCGGGAAUACGAAGGGUGCAAGCGUUAAUCGGAAUUACUGGGCGUAAAGCGUGCGUAGGCGGAUAUUUAAGUCAGGGGUGAAAUCCCAGAGCUCAACUCUGGAACUGCCUUUGAUACUGGGUAUCUUGAGUAUGGAAGAGGUGAGUGGAAUUCCGAGUGUAGAGGUGAAAUUCGUAGAUAUUCGGAGGAACACCAGUGGCGAAGGCGGCUCACUGGUCCAUUACUGACGCUGAGGUGCGAAAGCGUGGGGAGCAAACAGGAUUAGAUACCCCAGUAGUCCCUGUCUCUUAUAA